rnacentral:rRNA from 1 species
AGAGUUUGAUCCUGGCUCAGAUUGAACGCUGGCGGCAUGCCUUACACAUGCAAGUCGAACGGCAGCACGGAGCUUGCUCUGGUGGCGAGUGGCAGAACGGGUGAGUAAUAUAUCGGAACGUACCCUAGAGUGGGGGAUAACAGUAGCCGAAAGUUACGCUAAUACCGCUACGAUCUAAGGAUGAAAGUGGGGGAUCGCAAGACCUCAUGCUCGUGGAGCGGCCGAUAUCUGAUUAGCUAGUUGGUAGGGUAAAAAGCCUACCAAGGCAUCGAUCAGUAACUGGUCUUGAAAAGGACCACCAGCCACACUGGAACUGAGACACGGUCCAGACUUCUACGGGAGGCCCACUGGGGGAAUUUUGGACAAUGGG